GCAGACUAAGAAAUGUUUUUACAAAUGCAAAAUGUUCUAUGAUAGAUAUCAUUUUGUCAGACACUUUUCUUUUUUUUAUUUGGUUCUUAUAACAUGACAAAAAUCUGUAUAUUUAAUAGAGUUUAACAUUAAAUUAAGCGUUUUACUCUUAACAGACGUAUAACCAACCCGAUUAACAGACCAAUCGCCCAUGUAGCCGCAUACUCAAUAUAUAUUAACCGAC
rnacentral:lncRNA from 1 species